GGGGGGAUGUUAGGGAUUAAGUCUUUCUACCGGGAUAAGGACUUGUCUCUGAGAGAGGGGCUCUUGAAAAAGGACAGGGUUUGAUCCCUCUGUCUCCUCCCUCUUUCUUUUCCUCCCUCCCUCCUUUCCUUUUCUCCAAUUUCUCUUUUGUGUUUUUUUCCCGCUCACUGUAAUCCAACGUGACAUAGUUACAGAUGGUCUAUCAAUGCCACAGCCCUGUCAAGGCCCUGUUGAGGGACCUGCUGGGGGCCUGGGGGGCCAGUUAGGCUGCCCAGUGCCCUGCCUGCAUGUGUGUGUGUGUGUGUGUGUGUGUGUGUGUGUGUGUGUGUGUGUGUGUGUGUGUGUGUUUACUCCCACAGCUCAUCUGGGACCUUCCAUGAUGGCUGACACGUUGAACAGCCAUGGCUCUGAUGUCAGUCACAGGUUGUUUAUGUGUGAUAUAUGGAGCAUAUAUGCUGCCAAGCUCUAAUACAGGAGGAGUCAGUGCUGCAGGACUCUGAGUUUCUUCAGAGGCAGGACGAGAGAAGAACCCAAGCUGACAUUUUGACGGAUGGAUGUGGAAUAGUAUGUUUGUGAGCAGGGGCCCUUCUGUGCCAUCUCACCAUGGUAAUGGCAUCCCAGAGGAAAGGCCUUUGACUAUAUGUCUUAUCCCAUACAUCCUUCCAGUUCUCAGAUCCCUCCUCCAAAUACCUGAGGAUGUGCUGCUUCCUAAUUGAACUUGAAGGAGGAAAACACAGAGCUCUUUCUUAUGCUAAUCAAGCACAGAGUACAAAAUAUUGGACAGAUGUUAUAUUAGAAUGAUAUGGAACACAACCUAUACAAAAGGACAAUGGAAUAUGGUAAUGAAUAUGGUAAUGAAUAUAGCAAUAUACAAGAAUACAAAGGUUUCACAGCAGAUCAGAGAGCAGCAGACAGAAUAAAUAUCACAGUGAAUUAUGGGGAUUAAGGUCCGGUAAGUCUGGUUUCUUUGGUAUUUUCAUCAUUUCAAGAAUAAAUUUAUAACAAUAUUUUCAAAAGGCACUGUUUGUAUGUGAGGCAUGAUGUUGCAGGAUCAGGUGGUUAUAUUGGUUAAAACCUCUGCUGUGUGUGCAAGACCCUCUUGCAGAGUGGAGGGUUUUGAUUUACAGCCUGAGACAUAAAAGUUGACAGAAAAUAUAAGUUUGAAGAUGACUUUGUCUGUAAACACGAUAUAACAAUUUUAAUAAGAUACUGUGCUCACUUUAGAUCCAGUUAAGAAGUACAUAAUAAAGAAAUAAUAAAUCCCCAUAAGAGCAUAAUCUUUACAUUUUAUUGUGUUAUUCAUGCUAAAGACACAUCUCAUUAAAGGUUAUUAGUGGUCCUUAAAUGAUUAGGAUCCCAAAUGUCAUUAUAUGUCCCAACAAACUAAUACAUAAAAACCAAGUGAAAAGCAGAGCCAGGGAGAGUUCUGAAAUGAAAACAUGAUAUGGAGAACAAAAACAAAGCAGCUGUCUUGCUUUUUCAAGUUAAAAUAGGUUGACCUGUAUAUCUCAGUUCCCUUCAAAAUAAAGGUGUGGAGUGACUUAAUUUGUCUUUGUGAAUAGAGAUAAAAAGGAAAGCAAUUAAGAGAGAUCAAACUCAUAUAACAUCAGUGUUGACUAUGAGAAAACAAAUACUGUUGAGUGAAAUGAUAUAGUAUCAAACCCAGUGAUAAAGCUUUCUUAAGAGAAAAGGAAAUAAAUGAUUAGCAAUUGUUGUAGGUGACAGAUCACCAGUGGAUGGAUACCACAAAAUUAAAGCCUAAAGAAUCAACAUCAACAAGCCUCAUGAAUCAACAUCUCUGUGACAUAAUCUCAAUAAAUAGUGAUCAGUGAUAGUUUACAGUCCUGUAAGGUCGCAAUUUAAAGCAAGCAUGAAGCAUUCCUUUUACUAUCAUCAUUGCACUUACUCAGGUAGAGACCUGAAUCUUAUCCUGUUUGGACUCAGCUGAAUGGAUGCAUGUGAUCCAUACCACCCAAAUGUAACUUCAGCAAGUUUCAGGCUCCUGCUUGACACUGUGGGUGCAUCAACAGUUACAAAUCUACACAGUUAAGUGAGGCAAGGUGUAGGGGUGUUGCGCUUAUGCAAAUCUACAGCAUUCAGGGUAAUAUUUGGUUGGUUCUGUUUGAGAACAGUUCUACUGCAUGUUAACAUAACAAUGCACUGUAAAGCUAAAGAAACACAGAUAUUUCUACCACUUGUACUUGUACUCCUGUAAGUGUUUAUGAGGAAUGGUGCAGAUCUAUUCAUGCAACUUGAGGUGAAACCUUGUGGAGCACAGACAUGGCCUCAGAUUGCACUGACAUCCUGAUUUUAUGUAUGACCAGUAGUUACUUAGCCCUUUACUCACCUUAAAUUUGUUAAUUGUCAGUAUUAUAAAUUUUACAUUUCUAUGUUGUGUCUGUAAUGUUCGUUUAAGUGCUUUAUAGCAGAGAUUGCGGAGAAGAAAGUAUACUCUUACAGUCGGAUCUUUUCAAAAUGUAUGGACUUGAUUGAGUGCUUUUGUUUGGAGUUUAGGUUCAUAGAUUUUGUGUGUGUGUGUAAUAUUGUGUAUGUUUGACACCACAGUGUGGGGCGUUGUCUGCCACUCGGGGCCCUGUUGUUGACUGCCAGCGUAUCCCAGAAUCCUAUUAGGAGCAAGUCACACUUGGGUGGCACAUUCAUCAUGGGCCCUGCACAUUCAGAUUGCUGUUAUGAAUAUAAUUAGAGAGGAGCACAGAGGAGAUGUUCAGGGCACUCACACACACGUUCAUAGUCAUAUGUGAGAGCACAAACACAUAUGUCAGCACACACACACACACACAUGAGUGUAUGAAGUUUAUUGUUGUGCAUACAGAACAUGAUCAGUCAGACGUACAUGUGACUUGGCAUGUAAGGUGCAAAUGACACACAAGUCUCCAUGUGCACAUCCUCUCAGCAGAAACACUUUCCCUCUGACGUGUAUCACUCUGUCUUUUACACACUAUCAAUGGUGAUACACACACACACACACACACACACACACACACACACACACACACACACACACACACACACACACACACUUAUCAUGAUGUCAGACACUUCAUUUUCACCCCAGAGCUCAGCGUGUCUCACCUCAACACUUCAAGUACAAGCUGGCCAGCUCACAUGAGACCAGCCUGAACCCGAAUCAGACUGUCUGUACUGCGUCUGUGAUACAGUAUUUUUGGUCUUCACUCACACUAUGAUAAACUCCCCGACCUAGGUUUGAAAGCCACAAAGGAGUCAGAAGAAGAUCAUAAGAUAUCGGACAAAAAAAUACCACCCUGUGAGUUUAGCUAUAAAUUAAAUAAAGAUUAAAAAAAAAAAAAACAUGAUACAGAAACAAACAUUACACAUACACACACACACACACACACACACACACACACUAACUGGGACUUCAGACAACAAGACAGCUCAAGGAUAUCACUUGCCUAUUUAUUAAAGCUAGUUGACCACGUCUGCAUAUAAUACAGUGAACACAUUUGUAAAAGUUUCAGUGUAUACACGUUAGAAAUGUGUUUUUCAAUUACACACAGGCUGCUAAAACUCACGGUUAUUUGUCCUCUCUUUCAGUUUUAACCCAGAGGUGACCACUCCAUGUCUCAGUUUAGAGCUUUUGGAAGCACUUCUCCUGAAAGCUGUUCACUGCAGGUCUUAAAGAGUACUAAUGGAUUAAAAGUGGGUGAUAAUGGACGGUUACACACAGGGUGAGACUAAGCAGCACUACACGGGCCAGUAAUACUAUAAAAAUGCUUUUACACUUUGAACACUCCAGAGAGUGGAGCUCAGUCAGUCGCUCAGCGUGUUUUGUGUAAACUAAGCAUAUACUCUGAAAAUACACUCACAGCUUUGACAAACGGACAGGACUCUGUGAGAGGACUUUAAAGCAUAGUAAAGACUUAGCAAUAGUGUAUCAUUACUGUCUUCAGACAUCUCUUGAUCUCUUUGACUGCUUCACGAUAAUUGUAAUACGUCUCACCGGUGGCAGAUUUAAAGGUGAGGAGAGCAGCUGAUGUGAUUGGUGAAAACAGGUCUCGGCUGUGUUAAACCC
rnacentral:lncRNA from 1 species